UCGUUCAACACCACCUGUUGCAUUUUGAGCCACGUCUGAGUAACAGCCCAACAAUGAGCACCUUGCUCUCGGUAGUCCGCUCCACGCGCGCGUGCCGCCCUCGUGAAAAAUAGUGUGAAAUUAUGUGUGGAUUUUCACGCUAGGCGUGAUUUUCACACUUCGUAAGCUUUCCGCAGCCAAUCAGGGAUCGAAUUUCAUCACGCAGGGAGUGAAAAUCAGGCCUGGUGUAAGAAUCAUGCGGAAAACUACGUGUCUUUAGGUUACGCGCCGCCCACGCGAAAAAUUGUGUGCAGUUAUAAAUUAAGAGGUUCAUUAUGCAAAAAGACACCAUGCAAAAAGACACAUCAACUAAAUUACUCAAAAAAACAGUAAUUUACUGAAAUUUACCUAGGUUUUUUACUUUGAGCCAAAAUUACCGGUAAUUCUCGAACCCUAGGUAUGAGAAACUCUCAGAUCAGUUUCGAGCUCCCCUCCAUAAUUAAGAGCCUAGGAUCGGACCAAACUACCAUGGUAGCUUAUCAUACUGGGCGGAUGAAAGCAGAUAAAUGAAUGAAUUUGUUCUUUUUCACUGCCAUUUUAGAUAGCCUGAAACACCCUAUUCUGAGCCGAAUACUUAUCACAUCUUAAUCAAAUGUGUCUGCUGUUCCUUAGGCGAUCCCCCUGGCUGCACCGGCGAAACCUACUAACACUUUAGCGCUGCGAGCUGACCCAUCCAAAUGCGUCAAGGAGAUCGUUGAGACGCUUUACUCGGAUGUGCCCGGGUGGGUAUUGAUCUGCCUGAAAGUGGCGCAGGAUAACCCGUCGCUGUCGUUCUUCAUCGAGUUCCCCAUCUGCGCCAGCCUCGUUGGAGGCGCAGACUUUGUGCGAGUGGCUCUGGAUGUUGCGAAGAGGUGUCACUGAAAACUGACCGCCUAAACUCCAUAGGUGCAUCUGCCCAUCUUCGCUUCUCUCGCGUUGUCUUUCUAUUAACUGCAAAAUAUACUUUUACACCAUUA